rnacentral:rRNA from 1 species
UACGGGGGGAGCAAGCGUUGUUCGGAUUUACUGGCGUAAAGGGCGCGUAGGCGGCCACCGCAAGUCGACUGUGAAAUCUCCGGGCUUAACCCGGAAAGGUCAGCCGAUACUGCGGGGCUAGAGUGCAGAAGGGGCAACUGGAAUUCCCGGUGUAGCGGUGAAAUGCGCAGAUAUCGGGAGGAACACCAAUGGCGAAGGCAGCUCGCUGGGACGGUACUGACGCUGAGACGCGAAAGCGUGGGGAGCAACAGG